rnacentral:rRNA from 1 species
CCUACGGGAGGCAGCAGUGGGGAAUUUUGGACAAUGGGGGCAACCCUGAUCCAGCCAUGCCGCGUGCGGGAAGAAGGCCUUCGGGUUGUAAACCGCUUUUGUCCGGAAAGAAAAGGCAUCCCCUAAUACGGGGUGUCCUUGACGGUACCGGAAGAAUAAGCACCGGCUAACUACGUGCCAGCAGCCGCGGUAAUACGUAGGGUGCGAGCGUUAAUCGGAAUUACUGGGCGUAAAGCGUGCGCAGGCGGUUCGCUAAGUCUGAUGUGAAAGCCCCGGGCUCAACCUGGGAACUGCAUUGGAAACUGGCGAGCUUGAGUGUGGCAGAGGGGGGUGGAAUUCCACGUGUAGCAGUGAAAUGCGUAGAGAUGUGGAGGAACACCGAUGGCGAAGGCAGCCCCCUGGGCUAACACUGACGCUCAGGCACGAAAGCGUGGGGAGCAAACAGGAUUAGAUACCCUGGUAGUCCACGCCCUAAACUAUGUCAACUGGGUGUUGGGGAAGCGAUUCCUCAGUACCGUAGCUAACGCGUGAAGUUGACCGCCUGGGGAGUACGGCCGCAAGGUUAAAACUCAAAGGAAUUGACGG